rnacentral:rRNA from 1 species
UACGUAGGGCGCAAGCGUUGUCCGGAAUUAUUGGGCGUAAAGGGUAGGUAGGUGGUCUUAUUUGUCUGGGGUGAAAGCCUUGGGCUUAACUCAAGAAGUGCCCCAGAAACGGUAAGACUAGAGUCCUGGAGAGGGUCGUGGAAUUCCCGGUGUAGAGGUGAAAUUCGUAGAUAUCGGGAGGAACACCAGUGGCGAAGGCGGCGACCUGGGCCAAUAUUGACGCUGAGGUGCGAAAGCGUGGGGAGCAAACAGG